GUGGAUUAGAUACCCUGGUAGUCCACGCCCUAAACGAUGAUAACUCGAUGUUAGCGAUAUACAGUUAGCGUCCAAGCGAAAGCGUUAAGUUAUCCACCUGGGGAGUACGGUCGCAAGAUUGAAACUCAAAGGAAUUGACGGGGGCCCGCACAAGCGGAGGAGCAUGUGGUUUAAUUCGAUGAUACGCGAGGAACCUUACCCGGGCUUGAAAGUUACUGAAUAACUCAGAGAUGAGUUAGUCCUUCGGGACAGGAAACUAGGUGCUGCACGGUUGUCGCCAACU
rnacentral:rRNA from 1 species